AGAAUCAACGCUGGCGGCGUGCCUAACACAUGCAAGUCGAACGCGAAAGUCCCGCAAGGGAUUAGUAGAGUGGCAAACGGGUGAGUAACACGUGGGUGACCUGCCUUCGAGUGGGGGAUAACGUUCCGAAAGGGACGCUAAUACCGCAUAACAUCCUGCCUUUUAACAGGUGGACAUCAAAGCUGGGGAUCGCAAGACCUAGCGCUUGAAGAGGGGCCCGCGCCUGAUUAGCUAGUUGGUGGGUAAUGGCUCACCAAGGCAACGAUCAGUA
rnacentral:rRNA from 1 species